rnacentral:rRNA from 1 species
CACGUAGUUAGCCGGAGCUUAUUCUUCGGGUACCGUCAAAAUUCGUCCCCGAUUAAAGAUCUUUACAACCCGAAGGCCUUCUUCAAUCACGCGGCGUUGCUGCGUCAGGGCUGCCCCCAUUGCGCAAUAUUCCCCACUGCUGCCUCCCGUAGGAGUCUGGGCCGUGUCUCAGUCCCAAUGUGGCCGUUCAACCUCUCAGUCCGGCUACUGAUCGUCGCCUUGGUGGGCCGUUACCCCGCCAACCAGCUAAUCAGACGCGAGCUCAUCUCCGGACGAUAAAUCUUUGACAUGGGAAACAUGCGAAUCCCAUGUGUUAUGCGGUAUUAGCAGCCGUUUCCGGCUGUUAUCCCCCAUCCGAAGGCAGAUUGCUCACGCGUUACUCACCCGUCCGCCACUAGGUUAAAGAUUCCAUUCCCCGAAGGAAAUUUCCUAAAAUAACCCCGUUCGACUUGCAUGUGUUAGGCACGCCGCCAGCGUUCAUCCUGAGCCAGGAUCAAACUCU